CUGACUUCGGGAUAACCGCGGGAAACCGUGGCUAAUACCGGAUAUGACGCGUCACCGCAUGGUGGUGUGUGGAAAGAUUUAUCGGUUGGGGAUGGGCUCGCGGCCUAUCAGCUUGUUGGUGGGGUGAUGGCCUACCAAGGCGACGACGGGUAGCCGGCCUGAGAGGGUGACCGGCCACACUGGGACUGAGACACGGCCCAGACUCCUACGGGAGGCAGCAGUGGGGAAUAUUGCACAAUGGGCGCAAGCCUGAUGCAGCGACGCCGCGUGAGGGAUGACGGCCUUCGGGUUGUAAACCUCUUUCAGUAGGGAAGAAGGCCUUCGGGUUGACGGUACCUGCAGAAGAAGCGCCGGCUAACUACGUGCCAGCAGCCGCGGUAAUACGUAGGGCGCAAGCGUUGUCCGGAAUUAUUGGGCGUAAAGAGCUCGUAGGCGGUUUGUCGCGUCUGCUGUGAAAACGCGAGGCUUAACCUCGCGCCUGCAGUGGGUACGGGCAGACUAGAGUGCGGUAGGGGAGACUGGAAUUCCUGGUGUAGCGGUGGAAUGCGCAGAUAUCAGGAGGAACACCGGUGGCGAAGGCGGGUCUCUGGGCCGUUACUGACGCUGAGGAGCGAAAGCAUGGGGAGCGAACAGGAUUAGAUACCCUGGUAGUCCAUGCCGUAAACGUUGCGCACUAGGUGUGGGACCCAUUCCACGGGUUCCGUGCCGCAGCUAACGCAUUAAGUGCCUCGCCUGGAGAGUACGGCCGCAAGGCUAAAACUCAGAGGAAUUGACGGGGGCCCGCACAAGCGGCGGAACAUGCGGAUUAAUUCGAUGCAACGCGAAGAACCUUACCAAGGCUUGACAUACACCGGAAACAUCCAGAGAUGGGUGCCCCGCAAGGUCGGUGUACAGGUGGUGCAUGGUUGUCGUCACCUCGUGUCGUGAGAUGUUGGGUUAAGUCCCGCAACGAGCGCAACCCUUGGUCCUGUGUUGCCNGGCGGGUUAUGCCGGGGAACUCAUGGGAAAACUGCCGGGGUCAACUCCGAAGGAAGGGGGGGGAUGACGUCCAAAUCAUCAUGCCCCCUUAUGGCUUGGGGCU
rnacentral:rRNA from 1 species